rnacentral:misc_RNA from 1 species
GAAAUGCGAUAAGUAAUGUGAAUUGCAGAAUUCAGUGAAUCAUCGAAUCUUUGAACGCACAUUGCGCCCGCCAGUAUUCUGGCGGGCAUGCCUGUCCGAGCGUCAUUUCAACCAUCAAGCCCCCGGGCUUGUGUUGGGGACCUGCGGCUGCCCGCAGGCCCUGAAAACCAGUGGCGGGCUCGCUGUCACACCGAGCGUAGUAGCAAUCACCUCGCUCAGGGCGUGCUGCGGGUUCCGGCCGUUAAACAGCCUUACAAAACCCAAGGUUGGCCUCGGAUCAGGUAGGAAGACCCGCUGAACUUAAGC